GGGCGUUAAGUUGCAGGGUAUAGACCCGAAACCCGGUGAUCUAGCCAUGGGCAGGUUGAAGGUUGGGUAACACUAACUGGAGGACCGAACCGACUAAUGUUGAAAAAUUAGCGGAUGACCUGUGGCUGGGGGUGAAAGGCCAAUCAAACCGGGAGAUAGCUGGUUCUCCCCGAAAGCUAUUUAGGUAGCGCCUCGUGAAUUCAUCUCCGGGGGUAGAGCACUGUUUCGGCUAGGGGGCCAUCCCGGCUUACCAACCCGAUGCAAACUGCGAAUACCGGAGAAUGUUAUCACGGGAGACACACGGCGGGUGCUAACGUCCGUCGUGAAGAGGGAAACAACCCAGACCGCCAGCUAAGGUCCCAAAGUCAUGGUUAAGUGGGAAACGAUGUGGGAAGGCCCAGACAGCCAGGAUGUUGGCUUAGAAGCAGCCAUCAUUUAAAGAAAGCGUAAUAGCUCACUGGUCGAGUCGGCCUGCGCGGAAGAUGUAACGGGGCUAAACCAUGCACCGAAGCUGCGGCAGCGACACUGUGUGUUGUUGGGUAGGGGAGCGUUCUGUAAGCCUGCGAAGGUGUCCCGUGAGGGAUGCUGGAGGUAUCAGAAGUGCGAAUGCUGACAUAAGUAACGAUAAAGCGGGUGAAAAGCCCGCUCGCCGGAAGACCAAGGGUUCCUGUCCAACGUUAAUCGGGGCAGGGUGAGUCGACCCCUAAGGCGAGGCCGAAAGGCGUAGUCGAUGGGAAACGGGUUAAUAUUCCCGUACUUGGUGUUACUGCGAAGGGGGGACGGAGAAGGCUAUGUUGGCCGGGCGACGGUUGUCCCGGUUUAAGCGUGUAGGCUGGUUUUCCAGGCAAAUCCGGAAAAUCAAGGCUGAGGCGUGAUGACGAGGCACUACGGUGCUGAAGCAACAAAUGCCCUGCUUCCAGGAAAAGCCUCUAAGCAUCAGGUAACAUCAAAUCGUACCCCAAACCGACACAGGUGGUCAGGUAGAGAAUACCAAGGCGCUUGA
rnacentral:rRNA from 1 species